UACGUAGGGGCCGAGCGUUGUCCGGAGUUAUUGGGCGUAAAGCGCGCGCAGGCGGCCUCGCGCGCCCGACGUGAAAGCCCCCGGCUUAACCGGGGAGGGUCGUUGGGGACGGCGGGGCUUGAGGGCGGGAGAGGGAAGUGGAAUUCCCGGUGUAGUGGUGAAAUGCGUAGAUAUCGGGAGGAACACCAGUGGCGAAGGCGACUUCCUGGCCUGUUCUUGACGCUGAGGCGCGAAAGCUAGGGUAGCAAACGGG
rnacentral:rRNA from 1 species